AUGCAGGAGAGCUACGAGGCGCUGAUGCUGCUGGAUUUCCCCGUCGCCAGGCCCAACCUCGUGUCCCGGCCGGAGCCCGAGGAGGAGUUGGGGGUGCCGGACCCCAACGACUCGAAGGAGUGGCAGAUCCUCAGGGUGGCCCCCCCAGGUGAGCCCCGACCCCCUUUCCUUCCUCAUUUUUAUCCCCAAAUCCCUUUUUUUUUCCUUUAUCCCCUUUUUUUUUCCCCUCAUACAUUUUAUCUUUUUUAUUCCCUUUUUUGCUCCUCAUCCCUUUUUUCCCCUUUAUCCCCUUUUCCCCAAAUUCUCUAUUUCCCCCAUUUUUUCCCCAAAUCCCUUUUUUCUCCUUUAUUCCCGUUUAUUUUCUCCCCAUCCCCCUUUUUCCCCAAAUCCCUUUUCCCCCUUAUCCCCCUUUUUUUUUCUCACAUUUCCACAUUAUUUUCCCCAUUUUUCCCCAUUUCCCCCACCCCAAAUUUUCCCUCUUUUCCCCAAAUUUCCUCCGAAUUUUCCCAUUAUCCCCCAUUCCCACCGAUUACCCCAAAUCUCCCCAAAUUCCGCCAAAUUCCCUCCGAAUUUUCCCAUCAUCCCCCACUCCCACCGAUUACCCCAAAUUUCCCCAAAUUUUCCCAAAUUCCCCCAAAUUCCCUCCGAAUUUUCCCAUCAUCCCCCAUUCCCACAGAUUACCCCAAAUUUCCCCAAAUUCCCCCAAAUUUCCGCUCUCCGCAGACUCCGCCCCCCCCGAGCGACGAUGACUCCGCCCCCGCCGAUGACUCCGCCCCCGAGGCCGAAGUCUCCGCCCCUCCCCCCACGCCCGACUCCCUCCUCCUCCUCCUCCUCCCCUCCCCCUCCCCGUCCCCUCCCCCCGCCCCGCCCCUCCCCCCUCCGGGUGGGCGUGGCUCCCGCCGGGGGCGUGGCCUCCGCGCUCACCUGGGCCGCCGCGCGCACCUGGGCGGGUUCGGCCACGCCCCCCCGCCGGCCACGCCCACACAGCGGCCACGCCCCCCGGGGAGGGGCCAACGGGGGCGGGGCCAGCGGGGGCGGGGCGCUCACCUGAGCCCCCUCACCUGCGCGGAGUGUGGGCGGGGCUUCCGCUACAGCUCCGCCCUCCUGAAGCACCGCCACGCCCACGGGGAGGAGCCCGAGGGCCGCCGGAGGAGGAGGAGGAGGAGGAAGGCGGCGCCCGGGCACACCUGCGGCCGCUGCGGGGCGGGGCUGGGGCGGGGACACGCCCUCCUGGCGCACCUGAGCGGCCACGCCCCAGACACGCCCCUGCGCUGGGACACGCCCCCGGGCUGUGACACGCCCACCGGUGACACGCCCCUCACCUGUGACACACCUGGCGUCUGUGACACGCCCCUCACCUGUGACACGCCACUCACCUGUGACACGCCCCUGGGCUGGGACACGCCCACCAUGGGGGACACGCCCACAGGUGACACGCCCCUCACCUGUGACACGCCUGAGGUUGGGGCCACGCCCCUCACCUGCGCGGAUUGUGGGAGGGGCUUCGGGGGAAGCUCCGCCCUCAUCCGGCACCAGCGGCUGCACCUGGGCUGAACGGACCGGAACUGGAACCGGAACCGGAACCGGAACCAGGACUGGGAAAAUCCGGAACCGGGGAGAAUCCAGAACUGGAACCGGGACCAGGGAAACUCCGGCACGGGAACUGGGACCUGGACCUGAACUGGGACCAGGCAAAAUACGGAACCGGGACCGGGACCGGGACUGGGAAAGAACCAGAACCAGGACUGGAACCGGAACCGGGACCAGGGAAAAUCCGGAACCGGAACUGGAACCAGAACCGGGACCAGGGAAACUCCGGAACUGGAACUGGGGACCUGGACUGGGGCCAGGGAAACUCUGGAACUGGAACUGGGACUGGGACACAGCCAGAACCAGGACUGGAACCAGAACCGGGACUGGAACCGGAACCGGAACCGGGACUGGAACCGGGACUGGGGAAACUCCAGAACUGGAACUGGGACCAAGAAAACUCCGGAACCGGAACUGGGACCUGGACUGGGAAACAACUGGAACUGGAUUCCUCUGGAACCAGACCGGGACCGGAACCGGGACUGGGAAACCUCCGGAACCGGGACCGGGGCCCCCCCCGGGCCGGUGGGGCAGGAGGGGAAAGGACUCGGGGACGUUUCCGUGCCCGCGGUUUGGGGGGGGCCCAGGACCCCCAGAUCCGUUCCAGCCCCCCCCGAUCCAUUCCGGACCUUUGGAAUCCAUUCCUGACCUUUGGAAUCCAUUCUGAACCCCCAAAAAUCCAUUCCGGACCUCCCAAAACCCAUUCCGGACCUCUGAAAUCCAUUCCAGACUUCCCAAAUCCAUUUUGGACACCCCAAAUCCAUUCCGGACCUCCCAAAUCCAUUCCAGACUUCCCAAAUCCAUUCUGGACCCCCAAAAAUCCAUUCCGGGCCACUUUGAAUCCAUUCCGGACCCCCAAAAAUCCAUUCCGGGCCACUUUGAAUCCAUUCCGGACCUCCCAAAAUCCAUUCCGGACCUCUGAAAUCCAUUCCAGACCUCCAGAAUCCAUUCCAGCCCCCCCAAAAUCCAUCCCGGACCCCCCGAAUCCAUUCCGGACCUUUGGAAUCCAUUCCGGACACCCCAAAUCCAUUCCAGACCUCCCAAAUCCAUUCCAGACUUCCGAAAUCCAUUCUGGACCCCCAAAAAUCCAUUCCGGACCUCUGAAAUCCAUUCCAGACCUCCCAAAUCCAUUCCAGACCACCCUGAAUCCAUUCCAGACUUCCCAAAUCCAUUCCGGACCCCCAAAAAUCCAUUCCGGACCUCUGAAAUCCAUUCCAGACCUCCAGAAUCCAUUCCAGCCCCCCCAAAAUCCAUUCCGGACCCCCCGAAUCCAUUCCGGACACCCCAAAUCCAUUCCAGACUUCCCAAAUCCAUUCCAGACUUCCGAAAUCCAUUCUGGACCCCCAAAAAUCCAUUCCGGACCACUUUGAAUCCAUUCCGGACACCCCAAAUCCAUUCCGUACCUCUGAAAUCCAUUUCAGACCUCCAGAAUCCAUUCCGGACCUUUGGAAUCCAUUCCUGACCCAGGGAAUCCAUCCCGGGCCACCCUGAAUCCAUUCCAGACCUCUGAAAUCCGUUCCAGCCCCCCCAAAAUCCAUCCCGGACCCUCGGCUGACCCCUCCCCUCCCCCGCUCCGCUGCUCGGGACCCCUCCGGUGUCACCGGGGGGGACAAAAAUUGGGGAAAACGACCCCAAAAUCUCCUGGGGGGGGUGUCCCGCCCCUCCCCCACAGUAAAGACCCUCCAUGUCCGCCGGCCGCAGUGGGAUCUGUGCCCCUCCCCCUCCCCAAAAAACAAUUUGGGAUUUUGGGGAGGGGUCGCGGUGGGGGAGGGGUCGUGGUGGGGGAGGGGGGGUGGGCACAGCGCUAAAACCGCCCCUCCCCCCCCCCCAUAAAUGAAACCGGGCUGAAUUUUAGGGGGUGGGGGCGGGGCCUGGGGGUUUUGGGGGGGUCUUUUCACCCCCUCCCCCCACCCCACCCCCAUAAAAACAUUUCGGGGAGGGGUCGCGGUGGGGGAGGGGUCGCGGUGGGGGAGGGGGGGAUGGGCACAGCGCUAAACCCGCCCCUCCCCCAUUAAAUCGAACCGGGUUAAAUUUUGGGCGGUGGGGGCGGGGCUGGCGAGGCGGGGGCGGGGCCUGGGGGUGGGGGGGGGUCUGUCCGCCCCCUCCCCCUCCCCAAUUCCCCCUCCCCUCCCCCCCCCGGGGGUUGAACUUCCUGGGUCAGCGCCGCCGCCUUCCCAUUGUCCGAGCGGCGGCGGCGGCGGGGGCGGCCCGGGGGUCGCGGGACCCCCCCCGGCUCCUCCGGGGCUGUUUUUGGGGCGUUUCGGGUUUUUUGGGGUUGGUUGAUUUUGAUUUUUAUUUUUUUGGGGGCGUUUCGGGUUUUUUGGGGUUGGUUGAUUUUGAUUUUUAUUUUUUUGGGGGCGUUUCGGGUUUUUUGGGGUUGGUUGAUUUUUAUUUCUAUUUUUUUGGGGGCGCGGCGAUGUCGCCGAAGCGCUGGAGGGGUG
rnacentral:lncRNA from 1 species